UGCAUUGCGGGAGGCCUACCAUGCAGUCGAACGGUAACAGGAAGCAGCUUGCUGCUUCGCUGACGAGUGGCGGACGGGUGAGUAAUGUCUGGGAAACUGCCUGAUGGAGGGGGAUAACUACUGGAAACGGUAGCUAAUACCGCAUAACGUCGCAAGACCAAAGAGGGGGACCUUCGGGCCUCUUGCCAUCGGAUGUGCCCAGAUGGGAUUAGCUAGUAGGUGGGGUAACGGCUCACCUAGGCGACGAUCCCUAGCUGGUCUGAGAGGAUGACCAGCCACACUGGAACUGAGACACGGUCCAGACUCCUACGGGAGGCAGCAGUGGGGAAUAUUGCACAAUGGGCGCAAGCCUGAUGCAGCCAUGCCGCGUGUAUGAAGAAGGCCUUCGGGUUGUAAAGUACUUUCAGCGGGGAGGAAGGCGAUAAGGUUAAUAACCUUGUCGAUUGACGUUACCCGCAGAAGAAGCACCGGCUAACUCCGUGCCAGCAGCCGCGGUAAUACGGAGGGUGCAAGCGUUAAUCGGAAUUACUGGGCGUAAAGCGCACGCAGGCGGUCUGUCAAGUCGGAUGUGAAAUCCCCGGGCUCAACCUGGGAACUGCAUUCGAAACUGGCAGGCUAGAGUCUUGUAGAGGGGGGUAGAAUUCCAGGUGUAGCGGUGAAAUGCGUAGAGAUCUGGAGGAAUACCGGUGGCGAAGGCGGCCCCCUGGACAAAGACUGACGCUCAGGUGCGAAAGCGUGGGGGAGCAAACAGGAUUAGAUACCCUGGUAGUCCACGCCGUAUACGAUGUCGACUUGGAGGUUGUGCCCUUGAGGCGUGGCUUCCGGAGCUAACGCGUUAAGUCGACCGCCUGGGGAGUACGGGCCGCAAGGUUAAAACUCAAAUGAAUUGACGGGGGGCCCGCACAAGCGGUGGAGCAUGUGGUUUAAUUUCGAUGCAACGCGAAGAACCUUACCUACUCUUGACAUCCAGAGAACUUACAGAGAUGCUUUGGUGCCUUCGGGAACUCUGAGAACAGGGUGCUGCAUGGGCU
rnacentral:rRNA from 1 species